rnacentral:rRNA from 1 species
AGUGAACGCUGGCGGUAGGCCUAACACAUGCAAGUCGAACGGCAGCACAGUAAGAGCUUGCUCUUACGGGUGGCGAGUGGCGGACGGGUGAGGAAUACAUCGGAAUCUACUUUUUCGUGGGGGAUAACGUAGGGAAACUUACGCUAAUACCGCAUACGACCUACGGGUGAAAGCAGGGGAUCUUCGGACCUUGCGCGAUUGAAUGAGCCGAUGUCGGAUUAGCUAGUUGGCGGGGUAAAGGCCCACCAAGGCGACGAUCUGUAGCUGGUCUGAGAGGAUGAUCAGCCACACUGGAACUGAGACGCGGUCCAGACUCCUACGGGAGGCAGCAGUGGGGAAUAUUGGACAAUGGGCGCAAGCCUGAUCCAGCCAUACCGCGUGGGUGAAGAAGGCCUUCGGGUUGUAAAGCCCUUUUGUUGGGAAAGAAAAGCAGCAGGUUAAUACCCCGCUGUUCUGACGGUACCCAAAGAAUAAGCACCGGCUAACUUCGUG